AGAGUUUGAUCAUGGCUCAGGACGAACGCUGGCGGCGUGCUUAACACAUGCAAGUCGAACGGUGAUCUCAAGCUUGUUUGGGGGAUCAGUGGCGAACGGGUGAGUAACACGUGAGUAACCUGCCCUUGACUCUGGGAUAACUCCGGGAAACCGGGGCUAAUACCGGAUAUGAGACGUGGCCGCAUGGUCGGCGUCUGGAAAGUUUUUCGGUCAAGGAUGGACUCGCGGCCUAUCAGCUUGUUGGUGAGGUAAUGGCUCACCAAGGCGUCGACGGGUAGCCGGCCUGAGAGGGCGACCGGCCACACUGGGACUGAGACACGGCCCAGACUCCUACGGGAGGCAGCAGUGGGGAAUAUUGCACAAUGGGCGAAAGCCUGAUGCAGCGACGCCGCGUGAGGGAUGAAGGCCUUCGGGUUGUAAACCUCUUUCAGUAGGGAAGAAGCGGUAUGGGUU
rnacentral:rRNA from 1 species